rnacentral:lncRNA from 1 species
CUGGGGAUGGGAGUGCACUUGCCCGGGGUCACACAGCCCAAGGGCCAACUCAAAUGCUGCUUCCUCCAAGAAGCCUUCCCUGAUCACCAAGCUUGAAGAGUCAUCUCUCUCUCUGUUCUACCACAGCACUUACAGACUGUUAGGUCAUUGGUUAAUAUUAUGCCCUGAACUCUAAUUACACACAAUGGGAUCCAGCUGUCCUUCUAAACGUUACCCUUCUUUCGGGUAGAUCA